GAUGAAGAACGCAGCGAAAUGCGAUAAGUAAUGUGAAUUGCAGAAUUCAGUGAAUCAUCGAAUCUUUGAACGCACAUUGCGCCCGUCAGUAUUCUGGCGGGCAUGCCUGUUCGAGCGUCAUUACGCCCCUCAAGUCCCCUGUGGACUUGGUGUUGGGGAUCGGCGAGGCUGGUUUUCCAGCACAGCCGUCCCUUAAAUUAAUUGGCGGUCUCGCCGUGGCCCUCCUCUGCGCAGUAGUAAAACACUCGCAACAGGAGCCCGGCGCGGUCCACUGCCGUAAAACCCCCCAACUUUUUAUAGUUGACCUCGAAUCAGGUAGGACUACCCGCUGAACUUAAGCAUAUCAAUAAGCGGAAGA
rnacentral:misc_RNA from 1 species